AUGGCUUCUGUACAGGCGGCGAGGAGCGCCGAGAAGGAGAAGGCACACGCCGUGUGCCUGCCUGCGCCGGCGCAGGGGCACAUCAACCCAAUCCUGGACGUGGCCAAGCUGCUGCACGGCCGCGGCUUCCAUGUCACCUUCAUUAACACGGAGUACAACCACGCGCGCCUCCUCCGGUCACGGGGCGCGUCGGCGGUGGCUGGCGUCCCGGGCUUCCGGUUCGCCACCAUCCCGGACGGCCUGCCACCGUCGGAGGACAUGGACGUCACGCAGGACGGCGAUUCUGUGUGCAGAUCCAUCGAGGAGACUUGCCUGGGGCCCUUCCGGCGAGUUCUCGCCGAGCUCAACGAUCCGGCUAGUGGCGUCCCACCGGUGACCUGCAUCAUCUCCGACUCGGUCAUGAGUUUCUCCAUCGAAGCGGCCAGGGAGCUUGGCGUCCCCUACGUCCAUUUCUGGGAAGCCAGUGCCGCGAGCUACCUCGGCUUGCGCCACUACCGCCUCCUCGUCGACCGUGGUCUCGUCCCACCGCCAAAAGGUGCCUUGACGACUGAGUAUCUUGACACGCCGGUGGAAGAUGUGCCCGGGCUGAGAAAUAUGAGGUUCAGGGACUUCCCCACCUUGGUACGCGCCACAGAUCCGGAUGGCGACUUCAUGCUGCAGUUGGCCCUCAGGCAAAUGGAGCACGCAACCUGCGCAUCCGCCGUGAUCCUAAACAGUUUCGACGACCUCGAGGGCGAGGAGGCGGCGGCCAUGGAGGCCCUCGGCAUUGCCAAGGUCUACACGAUCGGCCCGCUCCCGCUGCUCCUGGCCUCUUCAGCCCCAUGUCUCAGCAGCGCCCUCAGCCUCAGCCUAUGGAUGGAAGACCACGGGUGCCUGCCUUGGCUCGACGCCAAGGAGCCGGGCUCUGUGGUGUACGUCAACUUCGGCAGCAUCACCGUCAUGACCAACGAGGAGUUUCUCGAGUUGGCGUGGGGGCUAGCCCACAGCCGCAGGCACUUCCUGUGGAUCAUCCGCCCCGAUCUCGUCAACGGCCAAACCCAAGCGGCGGCUCUGCUGCCCCCGGAGUUCUCCGCCACCACCGCCGACCGCGGCCUGGUGGCCUCCUGGUGCCCGCAGAAGGAGGUGCUGGCCCACCCGGCCGUGGGCGCCUUCAUCACGCACAGCGGCUGGAACUCCACAUUGGAGAGCAUCUGCGCCGGUGUGCCGGUCAUCAGCUGGCCCUCCUGUGGGGACCAGCAGACCAACUGUCGAUACCAGUGCAACGAGUGGGGCGUCGGCCUGGAGAUGGAGUGCCACGUCCGGCGAGACAGCGUCAGGGGCCUUGUCACGGAGCUCAUGGAGGGGGACAGGGGAAGGGAGAUGAGGAAGAAGGCACAGGAGUGGAAGGAGAAGGCAGCCAAGGCCACCACCAAGCACUCCGGCUCCUCUCACCGCAACUUCGACAACCUGCUUCGCGACGUGCUCCUGCCCCGGCCAUGA
rnacentral:rRNA from 1 species